CUCAAGCACUUAACAUCUGAAGGAAUUCGAUGAAGUGCCCCUAGCCGAGACAGCCAGCUGAGAGGAAGCCAGGGAGCCCUGGUCCACCCUGAGGUUGUGGUCUACGGCUGGAGGGGGAUGACACUCUGAGGACUGUGAGGAGGAUGAGCAGGCACAAUGGGAGCUGUCUCCUCACCUCCUGUGGGACUCCAUCAGCCCGGCCGUGAUCCCCCAGCUGCCUGUUUGUCAGGAGGGCAGGAAGGAACCACACUGUGCUGGCAACUCAGGGUCCUCCGAAGCAACCCGUUCCACAUAGGAGUUCAGCUAUGGUGAAAGAUCCAAGGCCACUCCUUGCUGAAGAAAAGAGUUUGUUUGGUGAUUGGCAGUUACCACCUUCAUCCUCCUGAGGGUGAACCCCAUUGGCUAAAGGCCUUCCACCAGACCCUACCCUUUAAAGGUCCCUGGGCCAGUCACAUGCCCUCUCCCCUCUGCUGGCUAUGGUCACAGUGGAGCAUGGGAACUUUUGCUUAGACCUCUGCUUAUGAGAUUAAGGGGAGGGUCUUCCAGAUACCCACACAUCUCUCUCCUCUGUCCUUUCUCCAUGUCACCUUGUAAAGAGACCCCUGGACAUCCCUGACCCUCUACCCUCUGCCUCCUUGCUUGGUCUGGCCCUUUGUUUGUUUUGUCGUUUGAAACAAAGAGUUUCUCUGUGU
rnacentral:lncRNA from 1 species